GGUUAAGCGACUAAGCGUACACGGUGGAUGCCCUGGCAGUCAGAGGCGAUGAAGGACGUGCUAAUCUGCGAUAAGCGUCGGUAAGGUGAUAUGAACCGUUAUAACCGGCGAUUUCCGAAUGGGGAAACCCAGUGUGAUUCGUCACACUAUCAUUAACUGAAUCCAUAGGUUAAUGAGGCGAACCGGGGGAACUGAAACAUCUAAGUACCCCGAGGAAAAGAAAUCAACCGAGAUUCCCCCAGUAGCGGCGAGCGAACGGGGAGCAGCCCAGAGCCUGAAUCAGUGUGUGUGUUAGUGGAAGCGUCUGGAAAGGCGCGCGAUACAGGGUGACAGCCCCGUACACAAAAAUGCACAUGCUGUGAGCUCGAUGAGUAGGGCGGGACACGUGGUAUCCUGUCUGAAUAUGGGGGGACCAUCCUCCAAGGCUAAAUACUCCUGACUGACCGAUAGUGAACCAGUACCGUGAGGGAAAGGCGAAAAGAACCCCGGCGAGGGGAGUGAAAAAGAACCUGAAACCGUGUACGUACAAGCAGUGGGAGCACGCUUAGGCGUGUGACUGCGUACCUUUUGUAUAAUGGGUCAGCGACUUAUAUUCUGUAGCAAGGUUAACCGAAUAGGGGAGCCGAAGG
rnacentral:rRNA from 1 species